rnacentral:rRNA from 1 species
AUUGAACGCUGGCGGCAUGCCUAAUACAUGCAAGUCGAACGAGUGGCGGACGGGUGAGUAAUGUCUGGGAAACUGCCUGAUGGAGGGGGAAAACUACCGGAAACGGUAGCUAAUUCCGCAUAUCAUUAGAUGUUAUCCGUGGGGAUUAGCUAGUUGGUGGGGUAACGGCUUACCAAGGCGACGAUCCCUAGCUUGUCUGAGAGGAUUACCAGCCACACUGGAACUGAGACACGGUCCAGACUCCUACGGGAGGCAGCAGUGGGGAAUAGUGCACAAUGGGCGCAAGCCUGAUGCAGCCAUGCCGCGUGUAUGAAGAAGGCCUUCGGGUUGUAAAGUACUGUCAUCGGGGAGGCGUUACCCGCAGAAGAAGCACCGGCUAACUCCGUGCCAGCAGCCGCGGUAAUUC